rnacentral:rRNA from 1 species
UACGUAGGGUGCGAGCGUUGUCCGGAAUUACUGGGCGUAAAGAGCUCGUAGGCGGUUUGUCGCGUCGGGAGUGAAAUCCACUGGCUUAACUGGUGGCUUGCUUUCGAUACGGGCAGGAACUGGAGGUAUGCAGGGGGAGAACGGAAUUCCUGGUGUAGCGGUGAAAUGCGCAGAUAUCAGGAGGAACACCGGUGGCGAAGGCGGUUCUCUGGGCAUGUCCUGACGCUGAGGAGCGAAAGUGUGGGGAGCGAACAGG